rnacentral:rRNA from 1 species
UACGGAGGGGGCCAGCGUUGUUCGGAAUCACUGGGCGUAAAGCGCACGUAGGCGGAUUGCUAAGUCAGGGGUGAAAUCCUGGAGCUCAACUCCAGAACUGCCUUUGAUACUGGCAACCUUGAGUCCGGGAGAGGUGAGUGGAACUGCGAGUGUAGAGGUGAAAUUCGUAGAUAUUCGCAAGAACACCAGUGGCGAAGGCGGCUCACUGGCCCGGUACUGACGCUGAGGUGCGAAAGCGUGGGGAGCAAACAGGG